rnacentral:lncRNA from 1 species
CACUGCCCCAGCUUCCAUCCGGAGGGGUCCCCACCAUCGGGAGGAACCCCCAGCCCAGGCACCAGGGCGAGCCGCCGAGGGACCCGCCCACCGCACCGAGCUGCAGAUGCUCGCCGAAGCCUCCCGCGCUCUUUAAACCUCCCUGGUGAUUCUGACGCAGGCGCGCCGCGGGAACCCAGCCGGCGAGUCCCGGAGCCAGCUCCGCCUCAGCCCCGAGCGCCGGGAUCUCUCCGGGAGCAGCGCUCACCGCUCAACCCGGGCACGGCGUCCCGCUCCGGGGAGCGCGCUGCCGACAGCCGAGAGCCUGGCGGGAGCGCGCCGCGGGGGGUCCGCCGCGCGCGCACACAGCGAGCCCCGCGAGCUUCGGAGGUAGCGGACUACCGGGUUGUUGUCGGGAAGCGGGUUGGGACUUGGAGAGAGAGAGAGAUGUGAUCGGUGGUGGCGAAGCGGAGGAGAGUCGGUGAUCGAUGCAAUCAGGAUUCUAUUACACCUUAAAGAGAACGGCGCCCAACUCGGCUACUCCGGAGAGGGGAGCUUGGGUGCACAAGCUAGACAGUAACAGGACGUUGAGCGGGACUAAGUUCCUUGUGUUCAAUUACUGGUUUUGCACGUACUAUAGAUACAAAUGCUGGCAGCACAUGAUGGCAACAGGGUUUCAAAGCUAGAGAAUGUUGUCGGUGGCAGUUUGUACAUGGAAGGCCACAUUUUGAUGCUUCUUCAUACCCCUCGACAACAAACAACAGCAUUAAACCCUGCCCCGGAGCAUAAAAGACUCAGCUGAAAAUUACAUACGGAACACAACUUCUUGGCAGUGGAAUGUCGUGAUAAACUGCGCCCUCAUCAACACAACCUGGCAUCAGUAACUAUAGCCCUGGGGAGGUGGAGGCAGGAGGAUCAGAGGCAUAAGGUUGUCCUUGGCUAUACUGUGAGUUUGAUGCCAGUCUAAGCUACAUGAACUCUGUUAAGCAAAUAAAAAACAGACGACAACCCUGCUGUAUUCUACCUUAAGGAGUCUCGUGGACCACCCCAUGCCGUGCACAUAUGGGCAGCUCCCGCUGGACUUGGAUUAUUAAUGAAGAUGGGAAGCUGCAAGAGGGGACCAUUGGGAGGCUUCUAGGGGAAGUUCAAGGCCAAAAUGAGGGGAACAAAAGCAGACAAGAUUGUCACAUCCUAUAAUGUAAGUGCCUGUUUACAUUUUGACAUUUAAUCAUCAUCAUAAUCAUUUUAGAGAUUCUUAUCUUCCCAUUUGAAGGGCUUCUCCUUGUGACAAUUGGACACAUCUGAACAUCUGGAAACAGACCCUUGUUCAUAGCAGCAUUACUCACAACAGCUGGAAACAAUUCAGAUGGCUUUCAACUGAUCGGUAGGAAACAAAAUGAGAUUCAUGCAAAUGGGACAUAAUGACCCAGGGUUAUAGAAGAAGGAUC